AUGUUCCCCUGGUGCCUCAUC
rnacentral:miRNA from 8 species